GGGUGAGUAACACGUAUGCAACCUGCCCCUGUCAGGGGGACAACCCGCCGAAAGGCGGGCUAAACCCGCGUACAUGCCACCGGGGCAUCCCGGAGGCAGGAAAGGCUUCGGCCGGACAGGGAUGGGCAUGCGGCGCAUUAGGCAGUAGGCGGGGUAACGGCCCACCUAACCGACGAUGCGUAGGGGUUCUGAGAGGAAGGUCCCCCACACUGGUACUGAGACACGGACCAGACUCCUACGGGAGGCAGCAGUGAGGAAUAUUGGUCAGUGGUCGGGAGACUGAACCAGCCAAGCCGCGUGAGGGAUGAAGGUACAGAGUAUCGUAAACCUCUUUUGUCAGGGAACAAAGGCGGGGACGUGUCCCCGGAUGAGUGUACCUGAAGAAAAAGCAUCGGCUAACUCCGUGCCAGCAGCCGCGGUAAUACGGAGGAUGCGAGCGUUAUCCGGAUUUAUUGGGUUUAAAGGGUGCGCAGGCGGUCUGUUAAGUCAGCGGUCAAAGCCCGGGGCUCAACCCCGGCCCGCCGUUGAAACUGGCAGUCUCGAAUUGGAGAGAAGUAUGCGGAAUGCGCGGUGUAGCGGUGAAAUGCAUAGAUAUCGCGCAGAACUCCGAUUGCGAAGGCAGCAUGCCGGCUCCACACUGACGCUGAGGCACGAAAGCGUGGGUAUCGAACAGGAUUAGAUACCCUGGUAGUCCACGCAGUAA
rnacentral:rRNA from 1 species